UGGGGAAUUUUGGACAAUGGGGGAAACCCUGAUACAGCCAUCCCGCGUGUGCGAUGAAGGCCUUCGGGUUGUAAAGCACUUUUGGCAGGAAAGAAACGUCAUGGGUUAAUACCCCGUGAAACUGACGGUACCUGCAGAAUAAGCACCGGCUAACUACGUGCCAGCAGCCGCGGUAAUACGUAGGGUGCAAGCGUUAAUCGGAAUUACUGGGCGUAAAGCGUGCGCAGGCGGUUCGGAAAGAAAGAUGUGAAAUCCCAGAGCUCAACUUUGGAACUGCAUUUUUAACUGCCGGGCUAGAGUGUGUCAGAGGGAGGUGGAAUUCCGCGUGUAGCAGUGAAAUGCGUAGAUAUGCGGAGGAACACCGAUGGCGAAGGCAGCCUCCUGGGAUAACACUGACGCUCAUGCACGAAAGCGUGGGGAGCAAACAGG
rnacentral:rRNA from 1 species